rnacentral:rRNA from 1 species
AGAAUCAACGCUGGCGGCGUGCCUAACACAUGCAAGUCGAACGAGAAAGUGGAGCAAUCCAUGAGUAAAGUGGCGACCGGGUGAGUAACACGUGACUAACCUACCUUCAAGUGGGGGAUAACCUCGGGAAACCGAGGCUAAUACCGCAUAAUAUCGCAAGAUCAAAGCAGCAAUGCGCUGGAAGAGGGGGUCGCGGCUGAUUAGCUAGUUGGCGGGUAACGGCCCACCAAGGCGAAGAUCGGUAUCCGGCCUGAGAGGGCGCACGGACACACUGGAACUGAAACACGGUCCAGACUCCUACGGGAGGCAGCAGUGGGGAAUUUUGCGCAAUGGGGGAAACCCUGACGCAGCAACGCCGCGUGGAGGAUGAAGCCCCUUGGGGCGUAAACUCCUUUCGACCAAGACGAUAAUGACGGUACUGGUGGAAGAAGCACCGGCUAACUCUGCGCCAGCAGCCGC